UACGUAGGUGGCAAGCGUUGUCCGGAAUUGUUGGGCGUAAAGCGCGCGCAGGCGGUCCUUUAAGUCUGAUGUGAAAGCCCACGGCUCAACCGUGGAGGGUCAUUGGAAACUGGGGGACUUGAGUGCAGAAGAGGAAAGCGGAAUUCCACGUGUAGCGGUGAAAUGCGUAGAGAUGUGGAGGAACACCAGUGGCGAAGGCGGAUUUCUGGUCUGUAACUGACGCUGAGGCGCGAAAGCGUGGGGAGCAAACAGG
rnacentral:rRNA from 1 species